UGUGCUCGAAAUAUUCCAUAUUGAUUUGGGUGGUGUUUUUCCUGGUGUAUACAUGCAUAAAAGUUCCUCAAGCUGUAAACAUAAGAUUUGUGCUUUUCACAGUAUAUAUGUUAUUCCUCAGAAAAUUCACCAAAAAAAAAAAAAAAAGUGAAAGAAAUGAGAGCUUUAUGUAAACAUUAGUGCUAAGAAGAAAUUAAGUGAUGUGAUGGGUAGAUGGGAGGCUGACUGAUCAGAGCUGAGACCUGAAUGGUGAUAUGGAGAUAGCCACGUAAUGAGCUAAGGGACUGCUUUCUGGGAGAUGGGACAGCAAGUGCAAAGGCCCUGCGACAGGAGCACGUUUGGCAUGUUAGAGGAACCUAGUCAAGACCACUCAGCUGGAACCCUGUGAGCAGGGCCAAGGCAAGCCUUUAAGGUGGCUUUUCUAAGAAUGGGGGGAAAGCACAAAGUGUGUGAGGUAAGGGGAGCUGGCAGUACUUUCUGAGAGAUGAGACAAGAGUAAGGGAGAGAGAAGCUUUUGAUGACUUUUAAUUACGUGGCUAGGACAUCUAGAAAGUCUGGGGCUAGGGUUCCACUGACUGAGCAGGAUUGGGGAGGCACUGGAGUCAAAGUUGGUUUGGACACAUUAAAUUGGACGUAUUUUUAGAUACUCAUGGAGCUGUUGGGGAGGCCGUGAGUGGUAGGGUUGAAGUUCUGCACCGGACCCAGGCUGGACAUGGAUGUCAGGAGUACACAGGUGGUGUUUCAAGUCUCAGGCACCUGGGAGAACAGAGAACAAGAAGAAACAGGGCAUUUAAUGACAUGGCAUUUGCACUGAAACUGCUUUAAAAGUGCUUCUGUUAUUUUCAAGGUCUGUUGAGUGUUGUCUCCCCACCAGGCAUCAAGAGCCCAAAAGUGAGCGACUCUGUGCAGUGCUGACCGUUUGGGCUUCAGUCUCUCGAACCAGGGCCAUAGGCACUAAAAUGCAAAUCCCUGGGCCUACCCAUGACCCGCUGAAACAGUGCUGGAGGCAUCUGUAUUUUCCAAGUUCCCUGGUUAACCAGCUCAGUCCUCGGUGCAUUCUGCUCUCGAGCCACACUCCCUCACAGGCCAGGAUGGCAUUCUGUCUAGCCCUGCGCAUGGCCCUGCUGCUCCUCUCCGGGGUCCUGGCCCCUGCAGUGCUCACAGCAAAUUGAGAAAAUACAGAGACAUGUAGAUGAAGAUAAGAAAAUGCUUUGGCCUCUUCCUGGCACCUGUACUUCCUUUGCUGGAAGGCUGGUGGCUGAGUCCAGGCUGCAGUUCGGGCUGCAUAAGCUGCCGGGAGCCGGCAGGCCUUUGGGACCUGGGCUGCUUGGGUGCAGAUGAGCCACUGGGGGUCUCCCGUGAUGGUCAGCUGUGGCACAUGCAGAGUACCCAGAUCCAGCCGCCCUGUGUCUGGCCGGAGAGGCCCUGGGGCUGAGGCCGCAGCUCAUGACGGCAACGACAGCACACUUACUACUUGUGUAAGCCGAGAGAGACAUGGUCCAACUCCCAUUUCACAGGUUGGGAAGUGAAGUUGGGGAGGGGGAGUGAAGUCAGUCUGCUGGAGUCCCAGGGUGGCAGUGUGACAGAGCCAGACUUUGGACCCAGCCCUUUUGAUUUGGAAGCCCACGGGUUCAGCCCCUCAAGCUUUUAGAGGCUGGUUCAGUGCUGGAGGAGAGGCUGCAGGUGGGUGCACACAACAGGGAUGAGGUGGCCUGAGCCAGUGUGUCUGGCAGGGAAGAUCCAGGCUUCUGUGGGGAGCAGCAGAGUAAGGCUGGGUCAUUGGGUAGAAGGGGAGAAGACCUGGGUGGCACACUGCCCUGCUCAGAGGGUGGCCCACUCUCCCCCAGAGAUGGCUCCUGGGCUCUGGCAAAGGGCAGAGGUAGAUGCUUACCUGGAGCUAGCAGGCUCAUUCCCCAAAUGCUACCCCAGUGCUGGGCCUGAUACCCAGUAGCCCUGUGGUGGCCUCCCUGCCAUGGGUGUAUGGGGAGCGAGUAGGGGCCAGGGGUUUGUCCAUUUCCCUGGGAAGACAGGCAGUCUGUGAACCCUAGACCUCAGGGCCUAGGAGUGGAUAUACUCAGGCUUUUUCUCUGGCCCGCCCCUGGGAGCCUGAGGCAAGCAUGUCUGGGUCCUGGCACUUGCCACAGCAGCUACGAGGCUUGCAGACCCCUGCCUGCCCAGGCAGUGACAACAGAGGCCUGCCCCCCUCCUCACGGGGUGGUCUUCAGUUGGUGGGGGGCCAGUGUGGCUCCCAGACACCAGCAUUUUGGUUCAGCAUCAGGCCCUGCGAGCGGGAAGCUUCCCCCACACUGUGUGCCAGGGACCUUUUGCCCCGGGAGGCCUCCUUGCCAUGGCUGUCGGCCUGGCUAUGCCAGCUUGGGUAACCCUUGAGGAAUAGGACAGCGGUCCCUGCCUGCAAGCUGAGCCUCAGAACUGAUCCAGCCCAGGCCUGGGAGAGGCUGCAGGGGCAGGGCCUGGUGAGUCCUACAGUUUGAUUGGGAAGAGAUUUUAAGAUUACAUCGAAGUUGCAAAAAUAAUCCAGGAAACUCCAGCAGAUUCUUAGAUUCAUCUUUCGUGUCUCUAUCUACCCACUUGACCUAUCUGAACGUUGACCACUUGAGAGUAAGUUGUAGACAUCAUGCCUUUUGGCCCCUAAAUGCUUCUAAGAGCAAGGAUAUUUACAUAAACAGCUAUCCAAAUGAGGACAUGGACUUCAAUAUAGUGCUGUUACCUAAGCUACGCAGUCAUACUUCCCCAGUAAACCCUGCAGUGCGCCCCCCAUCCAGGAAUACAUGCUGCGUUCAACCUCUUCGGUCUCUAAUCUGGAACAGUUCCUCAGCCUUUCUUUGUCUUUCUUGACCUGGAUGUUGUUGAAAGCACAGUUAUUUUAAGACUGACCCUGAAUUUGAGUUUGGCUGAUGUUUCCUCGUGAUUGGCCCCAGGUGGGCACUGUUAGCAGGAAAGACCCAGAAAUCCCUUUGUGUCUUCCCAGAACAGCCCCUCUCUGGAAGCCGGUGAGUCUGAAAGCAGCUUGGCUCUGGCUUGUCUGUGCCAGAGGGCGCUCUUAGGGGUGAAGCCUGUGGAGGCAAAGAUGCCUCAGGGCCCUGCAGGCAGGCUGGCUGGGGCUGCAGGAACGACACAACUUCCUCAGUGGUUUCUGGGGGAGUGCAUCCUGCUACUUCAUCGUCUGGGGGCUUCAGAGUCCGAGCAACGCUCCUCCCAGUGGCCCCCCCCCAAGCCUUGGUUUUCUCAGCUCUGAGGCAGGGAUACAACAGUUCCUAGCCACCAAGCAGCUGGAGUCAUGAGAUGCUGUGUUGUGAUGCCUGCUGAGCCCAUUCUAGGGACUGCAUGGGGGCUGAGCAUCCCUGGAUCACAACUGAGAUUAGGCACUGGGGAGCCCUGACCCUGCUACAGCUGAUGAUCAGGGCUGGGCUGGGGAGGCUGGCCUUCUGGUCUUGAACUUUAACGAGGUGGCUGGGGCCUCCGGUCUGCGAAGGGAGGAUGGGUCCAGGGUUGGGGUAGUGCUGUGAGACUCCUCAGACCAGGAUCCUUGGUGGGGAGGGGAGUGAAAUUGGCAUGGGCUGGCAUGGUAGAGGUGGAGAUAUGGGGAUGGGGUUAUCACACAGGCCUCUCAGUCUCAGCCUGUCCCGUUCCCUGAGGCCCCUGGGUACUCCAAACCUUGUUAACUCCCAGCCCAUGAGCAGAGAAAGGCCUCUGCAUAAAAUGCUGCACAGAGACUGAUAUGCUGAUUGAGCCCCAGCUUGUAUGGGGGUCGGGGGGGGGCAUCAUCCCUUUCUUGGGGCUUCCCUUACACUGACCACAGACACUCCUGCCCAUUCCUCUGGCCCUGUUCUGUCUGGAAGCAGCAAUAUGCUGGUGUCACAGUUUCUUAGGAUAGAGUCCCCUUGAGGUUUAAGCCUCAGAACAUGGGGUAUGUGUGGGUGCUGGACCCCAAGUCCUGUGGACUGUGGCUCUGCCCAGGUUAGGCCAAAGGAGGGGAAGCAAAGGAGGAGUUUGCCUCUCUUCCCCACCUCCUGCAGCAGUAGCCCCCUCAUGGGGCUCUGGGUAGGCAGGACCCCUGGUUCUUGAAGGGGGAGUGCCUCACCUUCCUGGCCUCUUCUCCAGGGUGAAGGCUGACCAGCCUGCCUGGCAGGCGUCUCUCACAAGUGUCAGUCAUCUCAUCCAGGCCUUCAGAGCCCAGCAGUUCAGAGGAAGGACCGCAGGCUGUGCUGGGAGAGGUGAAGUGCCCUGCUCCUGCCCCUGCCAUCCUGAAGCUCUGCUGCCAGCUCAGGGUCCUCACAGCUGUUUUCUAGGAGAACCUGUUGGUCCCCCUCCCUCCUCCUCCCCCCAUCAGUCUGUCUUCACUGGGCUCGGAAGCAGCCUGGCCACAAUAGGGGUCCUGGAGCCCCUGUAAAACGGGAGGACUGGUGCAGUGCUGACCCCAGAGUCCCGCACACAGCGCCGCCUCCGCAGUUGGUUAACGGCGGGGGGCCACGUCCCUGCUGGCCCUGCCGCCUGCCUGCGCCCCAGCGCCUGUCCUUGGCCUUGCAGCCGAGGGCCCACAGGAGCCCGCGCCCACCCUGUGGAACGAGCCCGCCGAGCUGCCGUCGGGAGAGGGCCCCGUGGAGAGCACCAGCCCCGCCCGGGAGCCCGCGGCCACCGGGCCCCCGACCCCCACCGCCGAGCCGAGCCCCGAGGACAGCACGGCGCGGGAGCGUCUGGACCA